rnacentral:rRNA from 1 species
CAUGGCUCAGAUUGAACGCUGGCGGUAGGUUUUAAACAUGCAAGUCGAGCGGUAACAGACAUUUUGAUUCAGCUUGCUGAAUCUCGUGCUGACGAGCGGCGAACGGGUGAGUAACGCGUAGGAAUCUACCCAGUAGCGGGGGAUAGCCCGAGGAAACUCGGAUUAAUACCGCAUACGCCCUUCGGGGGAAAGGGGGCAUCUUUGAUGCUCUCACUAUUGGAUGAGCCUGCGUAAGAUUAGCUUGUUGGUAGGGUAAAGGCCUACCARGGCUACGAUCUUUAGCUGGUCUGAGAGGACGAUCAGCCACAUUGGGACUGAGACACGGCCCAGACGUCUACGGACGGCAGCAGUUAAGAAUAUUGGACAAUGGGGGAAACCCUGAUCCAGCCAUACCGCGUGUGUGAAGAAGGCCUUAGGGUUGUAAAGCACUUUAAGCAAUGAAKAAGAAAGAUAAGUUAAUACCUUGUUUUUUUGACAUUAGUUGCAGAAUAAGUACCGGCUAACUCCGUGCCAGCAGCCGCGGUAAUACGGAGGGUACAAGCGUUAAUCGGAAUUACUGGGCGUAAAGCGCGCGUAGGCGGUUAAGUAAGUUGGAUGUGAAAGCCCCGGGCUCAACCUGGGAACUGCAUUCAAAACUACUUAGCUAGAGUACGAGAGAGGAGAGUAGAAUUUCUGGUGUAGCGGUGAAAUGCGUAGAUAUCAGAAGGAAUACCGAUGGCGAAGGCAGCUCUCUGGCUCGUCACUGACGCUAAGGUGCGAAAGCGUGGGUAGCAAACAGGAUUAGAUACCCUGGUAGUCCACGCCGUAAACGAUGAGAACUAGCCGUNGG